GGUCCCAUGGCUUAGUGGUCAGGGCAUUGGACUCUGAAUCUAACAACCCGAGUUUAAAUCUCGGUGGGACCU
rnacentral:tRNA from 1 species